rnacentral:ncRNA from 1 species
GGUGGCUUGUGGAAGCGCCGUCGCUCAACGGAUAAAAGGUACCCCGGGGAUAACAGGCUGAUCUUCCCCAAGAGUCCAUAUCGACGGGAUGGUUUGGCACCUCGAUGUCGGCUCGUCGCAUCCUGGGGCUGGAGUCGGUCCCAAGGGCUGGGCUGUUCGCCCAUUAAAGCGGUACGCGAGCUGGGUUUAGAACGUCGUGAGACAGUUCGGUCCCUAUCCGCUGUGCGCGUAGGAGUCUU